rnacentral:rRNA from 1 species
AUUGAACGCUGGCGGCAUGCCUUACACAUGCAAGUCGAACGGCAGCAUGAUCUAGCUUGCUAGAUUGAUGGCGAGUGGCGAACGGGUGAGUAAUACAUCGGAACGUGCCCUGUAUUGGGGGAUAACUAGUCGAAAGAUUAGCUAAUACCGCAUACGACCUGAGGGUGAAAGUGGGGGACCGCAAGGCCUCAUGCUAUAGUAGCGGCGGAUGUCUGAUUAGCUAGUUGGUGGGGUAAAGGCCCACCAAGGCGACGAGCAGUAGCUGGUCUGAGAGGACGAUCGGCCACACUGGGACUGGGACACGGCCCAGACUCCUACGGGAGGCAGCAGUGGGGAAUGUUGGACAAUGGGGGCAACCCUGAUCCAGCAAUGCCGCGUGUGUGAAGAAGGCCUUCGGGUUGUAAAGCACUUUUGUCCGGAAAGAAAUCGCACUUACUAAUAUUAGGUGUGGAUGACGGUACCGGAAGAAUAAGGACCGGCUAACUACGUG